AUUGAACGCUGGCGGCAGGCCUAACACAUGCAAGUCGAACGAGUGGCGGACGGGUGAGUAAUGUCUGGGAAACUGCCUGAUGGAGGGGGAUAACUACUGGAAACGGUAGCUAAUACCGCAUACCAUCGGAUGUGCCCAGAUGGGAGUAGCUAGUAGGUGGGGUAAAGGCUCACCUAGGCGACGAUCCCUAGCCGGUCUGAGAGGAUGACCAGCCCACCUGGAACUGAGACACGGUCCAGACUCCUACGGGAGGCAGCAUGGGGGAAUAUUGCACAAGGGGCGCAAGCCUGAUGCAGCCAUGCCGCUUGGAUGAAGAGGGCCUUCGGGUUGUAAAGUACUUUCAGCGGGGAGGCGUUACCCGCAGAAGAAGCAACGGCUAACUCCGUGCCAGCAGCCGCGGUAAUAC
rnacentral:rRNA from 1 species